UACGUAGGGACCAAGCGUUGUUCGGAUUUACUGGGCGUAAAGGGCGCGUAGGCGGCAAUUCAAGUCAUCUGUGAAAUCUCCGGGCCUAACCCGGAACGGUCAGGUGAUACUGUUUUGCUAGAGUGCGGAAGGGGCAAUCGGAAUUCUCGGUGUAGCGGUGAAAUGUGUAGAUAUUCGGAAGAACACCAGUGGCGAAGGCAGCAGAUUGGGCCGGUAUUGACGCUCAGGCACGAAAGCAUGGGGAUCAAACAGG
rnacentral:rRNA from 1 species